GGCUGGCCUGAAGGUACUGAUUCAUCUCAAAUGAUCGCCCUCUGUCAGUCACAGAUUGAAAUCUUUGUUCCACUCUUUCUCUCCUUCUCACUACUGUACUUGACUAGUCUUUU
ensembl:misc_RNA Y_RNA Y RNA